ensembl:snoRNA
UGUAUCGAUAAUUAUAAAUGCCAGCAUAUGAGUUAUCGAUGACAAAUAAUAUGUGUCUGGAACUCUGAGGUCCAA